UCUAUAAUGAGAAAUGAUCCAGAUCUAGGGUCUUUUGAGUAGGAAAGCUGGUCAUGAGAUGGUCCUGCCCCCAAGGUGUCCACUCCACUGUCUUGGCUAUGACAAAAGAGUCCAUGCAUGAGCAAAUCUGGAUAGAUUCUACCACAUGGAUAUGAGGUAGAACCUACACUUCACAAGAGUCUGAAUUUUAUGAUCCUUGAAGACGCCCUGAGGCAGAACCCCACCCACUUUAGCAGAAGCCUAGAGAUGGACUUUCAGCAGGCAGGUGUUUCUGGUUUGCCUGGUUGCCCAGUGAUUUGAGAGCCCCGCGACGCAGCCUGCUACAGGAACGGGGACUUCUCUGGAACACUGGCGUGCGCAGGGAUUAAUCCCGCCGUAGAGAGCCAGCCUGGCCUUUGAAGUGUUACAAGGGAAAGGAGGAGGUAAGUGUCGAGGCGAGCCCCCAGCCCCCCUCCCCGCCCCCGGGCAGCGUGCGGCGGCCCGCAAAGGGUUAAAGGCCGCCUUGGCCCGGCGGUGCCGUG
rnacentral:lncRNA from 1 species